CUCUACCUCCCAGGUUCAAGCGAUUCUCCUGCCUGAACUGGUUGUGAUUUUCCUGCUUCUUGGUUUGAUGAAUAAUUUUCAACUCUACCCUGGAUAUUUUGGAUACUAAUUUUGAGACUCUGGAUCCUCUGCAAUCUCCUUGUGUUUACCCAGUAGUCCCUGCUGAGAUGCAGCAUGAAAGCUUAUGAUUGUGAAUUCUGCUUCCCAUGGGUCCUGUCAACACCAUCUCAGCAAACAUGGAACCAGCAGAAGGAGAGACUGGGAAGAUCUGUCCCCUUGUGCAGAGGCAGCAUGCAAGCACACGAGCCCAAACCCCAUGAGGAGCUCCUGCUGCAACUGGGGGCAGUUUCUUCAUAAAAGGCAAGUCGGAAAAAAACACAUUAUUUUCUCUCAUAGGGAUUUUCCCUUCGAACCUUGUUAACCCAGAAUAUCUAAGACAGGUCUCAGUCAAUUUAGAAAGUUUAUUUUGCCAGGGUUGGGGACGUGCCUGUGAUAUGGCCUCAGGAUGUGCCCAAGGUGGUCGGGGGUACAGUUUGCUUUUAUACGUUUUAGAGAUACAUGAGACAUCAAUCAGUAUGUGUAAGCUGUACAGUGGUUUGGCCUGGUAAGUCAGGAAGUGGGGGGCCUCCAGGUCAGAAGUAGACAAGAGACAAAAGGUUGCAUUCCUUUGAGUCCUUGAUCAGCCUUCCACUGAAUACGCAAUU